rnacentral:rRNA from 1 species
UGGGGAAUAUUGGACAAUGGGGGCAACCCUGAUCCAGCCAUGCCGCGUGUGUGAAGAAGGCCUAGUGGUUGUAUAGCACUUUAUGCAGUGAAGAAGACCUAACGGUUAAUACCCGUUAGCGAUGACAUUAGCUGCAGAAUAAGCACCGGCUAACUCUGUGCCAGCAGCCGCGGUAAUACAGAGGGUGCAAGCGUUAAUCGGAAUUACUGGGCGUAAAGCGAGCGUAGGUGGCUUGAUAAGUCAGAUGUGAAAUCCCCGGGCAUAAUAUGGGAACUGCAUCUGAUACUGUUAGGCUAGAAUAGGUGAGAGGAAGGUAGAAUUCCAGGUGUAGCGGUGAAAUGCGUAGAGAUCUGGACAGAAUACCGAUGGCUAAGGCAGCCUUCUGCGAUCAUAUUGUGCCUGAGGUUCGAUAGCGUGGGUAGCAAAUAGGAUUAGAUACCUUGGUAGUCCACGCGGUAAACGAUGUCGACUAGUCGUUGGGUCCCUUGAGGACUUACGGACGCAGCUAUCGCAAUAAGAUGACCGCCUGGGGAGUACGGCCGCAAGGU